rnacentral:lncRNA from 1 species
AAACCAUUUGGUAUUCCAUUUUCAUGUUGGUUGCUGUAGACCCAUCCCCAGCAACAAUAACCUGCAGAAGGAAAAGCCAGUUUGCAUAUCCUUCACUUUCGAAGGUCAUGGAGAUGUAAACCGUGUCAUGUAGUGGUGUAGAGGUUGGGUGAGAAAGGGACGGCGAGUGUUUCACCAUUGUCAAGCAGAUACAAUACCGGAAGGGUAAGAGGAAAGGGUGAGAAAAAAAAUCUUAUAAAAGGAGAGAAAAGGCCAGAGACAUCAGUAGACUGAGCAUCACCGUCACGGACUCACGGCAACAACUUGUACACUACCUGUACCUAGGACCUUCUUCAUCGCAUUACCAGUUCGCAGCAAUGGGGUAAACGACAACAACUGCUGUGCGCUAUUUGUCAUCAACUGCAUUCUUCUUCGUUUCACCAGUUUGCAAUCAUGGUGAACUAUGGCGUCAUGCUGCUGUUGGUUGUUGCAUCGUUCAUGGCUGGGUCAACCUCGGGUGUAUUUAUGUUUCCUGUGUAUGGUGGAUAUCAAGUGACAGCAGCGAAAGAACAGUACAAUACGUCGCCGCCUUACUACACAACGUUAACAUACGCAACACCACGUACCAUUAAUAGGCUCUUAAAUACUACACUACCAAGGCUCUGAGUACAACACGAAAAUUAUGCUGUCUCGAGCUUCUACACCGAAGUAUUACUCUGCCCCGAGUCACAUCAUAAAAGCGCCUGAGUACUACACUAGUCUUCCAAGUUUUACACUAACAAAACUCCAAGCUACUACACCGAGGCUAUAGCGUAAUACACCACCGAAGCGGUUGAAUACUACACCGAAGCGUCCAAGUACUGCAUUACAACGUACUGCAGCCCCCUAUUUGUCACCAACUGCCUUAUUCAUCGUAUUAAAUCAGUUACUAAUCAUAGAUAUCGAUGAUGUUGAUGUGUGUUUUGUUGAUGGCUGGGUCGAUCACUGGUGUACUGAUGUCUCCUGGAAAUGGCUGAUACCAAACCACCACACCGCUGCCAUACUACACAACAACGAGGUCUCCAAGUACUACACCACUGUAGGACGGAAUAUUACAAGAUUAUGUAUGCAGUUCCUGCCUACUACACCAAGGCCCCUAAACUCCUACUAGUUGUCUACUAAAAUAUUGUGUCGGUUUUGUUUUACAUCCCUGUAGUGUAUAAUUCAUAUUAUUUGAUGUUAUUCUGUUUUGCAAUGUGGUGUGUUGCAGCUCAGGUUGGUGAAAGUUCUUUGAUGUGAAGUUAAAACUGCGGUUGUCUCAAGCGAUGUCAAAGAAUAUCUACUGAAUACUUGAAACUUAAACCUGCAAUAACAUGUUAAAUUUGAAACUCAAUUGCUAUUUCAUCUUGUCAUGCAUUAAAUACGUUGAAAUAUGCAAUUAACCAAUCAAAUACAA